rnacentral:rRNA from 1 species
UGAGGAAUAUUGUACAAUGGACGGCGAACCCUGAUCCAGCCAUGCCGCGUGUGUGAAGAGGGCCUUCGGGUUGUAAAGCACUUUCAGAUGGGAGGAAAGACGUAACUAAUACCUAGGCUUACUGUGACGUUACCAUCAGAAGAAGCACCGGCUAACUCCGUGC